rnacentral:rRNA from 1 species
AUUGAACGCUGGCGGCAGGCCUAACACAUGCAAGUCGAGCGGAGCGGCGGACGGGUGAGUAAUGCCUAGGAAUCUGCCUGGUAGUGGGGGUUAACGUCGGGAACCGGGCGCUAAAACCGCUAAUUACAAAUGGACCCAAGGCGGAAUUGCCAAGUUGGUGGGGUAAAGGCCUACCAAGGCGACGAUCCGUACCUGGUCUGAGAGGAUGAUCAGUCACACUGGAACUGAGACACGGUCCAGACUCCUACGGGAGGCAGCAGUUGGGAAUAUUGGACAAUGGGCGAAAGCCUGAUCCAGCCAUGCCGCGUGUGUGAAGAAGGUCUUCGGAUUGUAAAGCACUUUAAGUUGGGAGGCGUUACCAACAGAAUAAGCACCGGCUAACUCCGUGCCAGCAACCGCGGUAAUAC